rnacentral:rRNA from 1 species
GACGAACGCUGGCGGCGUGCUUAACACAUGCAAGUCGAACGGAAAGGCCCUGCUUUUGUGGGGUGCUCGAGUGGCGAACGGGUGAGUAACACGUGAGUAACCUGCCCUUGACUUUGGGAUAACUUCAGGAAACUGGGGCUAAUACCGGAUAGGAGCUCCUGCUGCAUGGUGGGGGUUGGAAAGUUUCGGCGGUUGGGGAUGGACUCGCGGCUUAUCAGCUAGUUGGUGGGGUAGUGGCUUACCAAGGCUUUGACGGGUAGCCGGCCUGAGAGGGUGACCGGCCACAUUGGGACUGAGAUACGGCCCAGACUCCUACGGGAGGCAGCAGUGGGGAAUAUUGCACAAUGGGCGGAAGCCUGAUGCAGCAACGCCGCGUGCGGGAUGACGGCCUUCGGGUUGUAGACCGCUUUCGCCUGUGACGAAGCGUGAGUGACGGUAAUGGGUAAAGAAGCACCGGCUAACUACGUG